AGAGUUUGAUUAUGGCUCAGGAUGAACGCUAGCGAUAGGCCUAACACAUGCAAGUCGAGGGGCAGCACAUGAAGUAGCAAUACGGAUGGUGGCGACCGGCGCACGGGUGAGUAACGCGUAUGCAACCUGCCUACAACAGGGGAAUAACCCGUUGAAAGACGGACUAAUACCCCAUAACACAGGGAUCCCGCAUGGGAAUAUUUGUUAAAGAUUUAUCGGUUGUAGAUGGGCAUGCGUUCCAUUAGCUUGUUGGUGAGGUAACGGCUCACCAAGGCAACGAUGGAUAGGGGAACUGAGAGGUUUAUCCCCCACACUGGUACUGAGACACGGACCAGACUCCUACGGGAGGCAGCAGUGAGGAAUAUUGGUCAAUGGACGCAAGUCUGAACCAGCCACGUCGCGUGAAGGAAGACGGCCCUACGGGUUGUAAACUUCUUUUGUAAGGGAAUAAAGUGUAGUACGUGUACUAUUUUGCAUGUACCUUACGAAUAAGGAUCGGCUAACUCCGUGCCAGCAGCCGCGGUAAUACGGAGGAUCCGAGCGUUAUCCGGAUUUAUUGGGUUUAAAGGGUGCGCAGGCGGGAGAUUAAGUCGGCGGUGAAAUUUUGCAGCUCAACUGUAAAAGUGCCUUCGAAACUGGUUUUCUUGAGUGUGGAUGAAGUAGGCGGAAUUUGUGGUGUAGCGGUGAAAUGCAUAGAUAUCACGAGGAACUCCGAUUGCGCAGGCAGCUUACUAAACCAUAACUGACGCUCACGCACGAAGGCGUGGGGAUCAAACAGGAUUAGAUACCCUGGUAGUC
rnacentral:rRNA from 1 species